AGACUCGAGUAGGGCGGGACACGUGAAAUCCUGUCUGAACAUGGGGGGACCACCCUCCAAGCCUAAGUACUCCUCUACGACCGAUAGUGAACAAGUACCGUGAGGGAAAGGUGAAAAGCACCCCGACAAGGGGAGUGAAACAGAUCCUGAAAUCGGAAGCCUACAAGCAGUCGGAGCCCCCAUGCGGGGUGACGGCGUACCUUUUGUAUAAUGGGUCAGCGACUUCAUGUGUCGAGCAAGCUUAAGCCGUUAGGUGUAGGCGCAGCGAAAGCGAGUCUGAAUAGGGCGCUAAGUUCGACGUAUGACGACCCGAAACCAGGUGAUCUAUCCAUGAGCAGGAUGAAGGUUGGGUAACACCAACUGGAGGUCCGAACCCGUGAAUGUUGAAAAAUUCUGGGAUGACUUGUGGAUAGGGGUGAAAGGCCAAUCAAACCUGGACAUAGCUGGUUCUCCGCGAAAUCUAUUUAGGUAGAGCGUCCGACGAAUACCCUGGGGGGUAGAGCACUGGAUGGAUGCGGGCUGCGCGAGCGGUACCAAUUCUAACCAAACUCCGAAUACCCAGGAGUACUAUCGGGCAGACACACGGCGGGUGCUAACGUCCGUCGUGAAAAGGGAAACAACCCUAACCAUCAUCUAAGGCCCCCAAGUAACGGCUAAGUGGGAAACGAUGUGGGAUUGCUUUGACAAUCAGGAGGUUGGCUUAGAAGCAGCCAUCCUUUAAAGAAAGCGUAACAGCUCACUGAUCAAGCGAUCCUGCGCGGAAAAUGUAACGGGGCUCAAGCCGUUCGCCGAAGGUAUGGGUGCACGUAAGUGCGCGGUAGCGGAGCGUUCCGUAAGCCGGUGAAGGUCAACCGCGAGGUUGGCUGGAGGUAUCGGAAGUGAGAAUGCUGACAUGAGUAACGAUAACAGUGUGAGAAACACUGUCGCCGAAAGACCAAGGGUUCCUGCGUAAAGCUAAUCUGCGCAGGGUUAGUCGGCCCCUAAGGCGAGGCUGAAAAGCGUAGUCGAUGGGAAGCAGGUAAAUAUUCCUGCACCAGCUGGAAGUGACGGAUGGCAUAAGUCGUCGGGGCUUAUUGGAUUGUUCCCGGCGGUGGCGUUGUCCCUGGAAAUAACUCCAGCAGAGACCGUACCCGAAACCGACACAGGUGGUCAGGUAGAGCAUACCAAGGCGUUUGAGAGAACUGUGCUGAAGGAACUCGGCAAAUUGCACGCGUAACUUCGGAAUAAGCGUGACUCACCUAGGGCAACCUAGAAUGAGUGGCACAAGCCAGGGGGUAGCGACUGUUUAGCAAAAACACAGGGCUCUGCGAAGCAGCAAUGCGACGUAUAGGGUCUGACGCCUGCCCGGUGCCUGAAGGUUAAAGGGAGGAGUGCAAGCUCCGAACUGAAGCCCAGGUA
rnacentral:rRNA from 1 species